GAAAAGACCACAAACACAUUAUAAUGUGACCAACAUACUGUAGGUGAUAUUUAGUCAUGUUUUAUUACAAUAUGGUACAAUAUUUCUUCUUUAGAUGACAACUGAAUUGUCAGCAUAGAAAUAGCAAAUGAAGUAGACAUAAAAGUGUGGUGAAACAAUUAAAGAAAAAAAAAUACUUACAAGGUUAUGUAAAAAUGCUGACAAUUUCAACAUGUGUUUCAAUAUGAUCCAAUACAUACAGUUACAUAUAAUUACAUAAACUGUGAUGCUGUGCAAAUAUGCUAUCAGAUAUAAACAAUAUUCAUAUAUAUAUAUAUAUAUAUAUAUAUAUCCACUCAGUGCUGUCCAAGGUGCUUUGUAUAUUCUUCCACCAGCUUGUAUGUGUCAUGUUAGCAGUAAUGCCAGUAUGUGAGCUACAGCACAUGAAAAGUAUAGAUGCUCUAUAUUGUGAAGAGAGUAGAGAAUAAGUCUCAUUCUCUUCCCCUUCUGCUAUGUCCAGUAUGAGCCACGCCUUCAUUAUAGCAGCAUGAGCCUCUUUCUGUUGGUUUCAUUAUACAACGCACAGAGACCAAUGUAAAUCCUUCGAAGAGCCAUGUUGCUUUUACAGUUCAGUGGCAAAUAACGGGGGCAUACUUUAAUGCUUCGCAGAGCUCAUUACAAUGCCUUUGUGGGAACUUAACUGUGCUGACACACUAUCUAAAGAGUCUAGGCCUUCUUAGCAGCUCUGGCAUGGAGAAGAGUUUACACACUUCAUGCAGCCAAGCUGACAGCCUCAGCUCAUAUCUAGCCUGGGCUGACCCAAGGCAUGUGUUUGAGAUUAGACUGCGAGGAGGGAGGCUGCUGCCGAGGAAUGGACAGGGGGCUAAAUGAGGAGAAGGGGAACACAUGCUGAUAGGCAGCGAAACGGAGCGGGUGAGGGCGAGAAAUGAUGGUGGAGAAUUGCUGCUGCAGCAAUGGAUUAAAAAGUCUGACACAGUGACCAUGGGGGGAUUUUCUGUCUUUCUGGAUAACAAGGAGAGUGUGGGCCACAAGAGAUGGUGGGGGCUUGUUCUUUGACGUGAGGAUAACAAAGCCAAAGCCCUCGUUGUCUUUGCGCUGCAGAGUAACGUCAAAGCACUCCGGCCGAGGGGUCUGAACGGGCUGGACGGCGUUCGGAAACUCG